rnacentral:rRNA from 1 species
UACGGAGGAUCCAAGCGUUAUCCGGAUUUAUUGGGUUUAAAGGGUGCGUAGGCGGCCUAUUAAGUCAGGGGUGAAAGACGGUAGCUUAACUAUCGCAGUGCCUUUGAUACUGAUGGGCUUGAAUGUACUUGAGGUAGGCGGAAUGUGACAAGUAGCGGUGAAAUGCAUAGAUAUGUCACAGAACACUAAUUGCGAAGGCAGCUUACUAAAGUAUGAUUGACGCUGAGGCACGAAAGCGUGGGGAUCAAACAGG